GACCCCAUCGUCUAGCCUGGUCAGGACACAAGCUUUUCAAGCUUGCAGCGCGGGUUCAAAUCCCGCUGGGGUCGCCA
rnacentral:tRNA from 3 species